rnacentral:lncRNA from 1 species
CACUAAUACAUUUAAUGUGUUGACUGAAGCUGUACCCAAAUAUGAAGGUAAUUUGAGCAUAGCAAUUAAUUUGAAUCUGUAUAUUCUGUUCUUUUAGCGAACUGGACAGGACUCAGCAUUCAAAGAUUGUGGUAACCCAGAAGAUGUCAUGAGAGCUACAGGAAAUGUAAUUUUCAAAUGUUUUUUACUCAGACUGAAAAGCUGAAUGGGCUGUUCUAGUGCCUACACUACCCCACAUAAAUACUCUACACAUUUACUGAUGUAAACAAAAAUGUGCUUUUUCAUUUAACUCAUUUCAGUCUUCAUUUUGCCAAUAUUACACCUGUAUGACCUAUCUCUUUAAAUACUACUACUACUAGAUGAUUUGGUAGUAUCUAGCUUCUUGCCAUGCUUGAAAUCAGAUUUUAUUUUGUUUUAAGCCACUUGAUUCACUAAUGUAAACUAAAAGACUAAAGCAUUUGGCCUCUCAGAGGGAGGAUAAAGAGCUUUAUAUUUAGUGUAGCUUGCUACUGAAGCAUAAACUCUUGAGGGCACACCCUCAAAUGAAGACGUGAUCUUGUUGGUCGAGUGAAGGUUGAAACAGCUGAAACACUGUAUUUGUGCUUAUAGGGCUUAAAAAUCCCUUCUGGCUUUUUUUAGGACGUGUUUGGAGGAAAAGCCAUGCUUGCUCCAGUCAUCAAGACAACAAGAUCACAGGUAUUAUAUAUUGUGUCUACGUAUUCAUAGGAUUUUAAGAAGAAUUUUUAGGAAGAAUUUAGAU